UACGUAGGGUGCAAGCAUUAAUCGGAUUUAUUGGGCGUAAAGGGCGCGUAGGCGGGUUUGCAAGUUAUAUGUGAAAUUCCAAAGCUCAACUUUGGAGCUGCAUAUAAAACUGCAAGUCUAGAGGGAUGGCGGAGAAAAUGGAAUUCCACGUGUAGCGGUGAAAUGCGUAGAUAUGUGGAAGAACACCUGUGGCGAAAGCGAUUUUCUAGCUUAGUCCUGACGCUGAGGCGCGAGAGCAAGGGGAGCAAACAGG
rnacentral:rRNA from 1 species